GCUGUGAUGGCCGAUUGGUUAAGGUGUUGGAGUUGAAAUCCAAUAAGGCCCACCUACGCAGGUUCAAAUCCUGCUCACAGCA